ACGGGAGGCAGCAGUGAGGAAUAUUGGUCAAUGGACGGAAGUCUGAACCAGCCAAGUCGCGUGAAGGAUGAAGGUAUUAUGUAUUGUAAACUUCUUUAGACGCAGAGAAAUAAGGCGCUCGGGAGCGCUGAUGCUAGUAUGCGUAGAAUAAGGAUCGGCUAACUCCGUGCCAGCAGCCGCGGUAAUACGGAGGAUCCGAGCGUUAUCCGGAUUUAUUGGGUUUAAAGGGAGCGCAGGCGGAGAUGUAAGCCAGCCGUCAAAUCGUGGUGCUCAACGCCAUCCAGCGGUUGGAACUGCAUCCCUUGAGUGCACUAGAGGAAGGUGGAAUUCGUGGUGUAGCGGUGAAAUGCAUAGAUAUCACGAAGAACUCCGAUUGCGAAGGCAGCCUUCUGGGGUGUUACUGACGCUCAUGCUCGAAGGUGCGGGUAUCAAACAGGAUUAGAUACCCUGGUA
rnacentral:rRNA from 1 species